rnacentral:lncRNA from 1 species
UAAGCCAGUAUCUUUCAGUUAAUGAUUAGGUCUGAAAGUAAAAAAUUACCUUAUCUUGGAUUUCUCUCUUCUUUCUCUGUGAAAGAUAAGCUGCAGUAGGAGCUGGAUGCCCUGUUCUUCCAUGGUUCAACCACCCCCUGCCCUUAAACUGGUGCCGUCACCUCACCAGGGCCAUCAGCCACACUGACACCACUAUGAUGGAUAGCAAAAUGGCAUUUAUUGUGGUGCAGUUAGCACCUUAUAUACUUUAAUCACUUUGUCUAUGCCCCUUGAGAAGAUGUUUGAAAUACGCACCCGAUAUACAUCACAAGGUAGGGGAUGGAGCAGGGAGAGGGCACUGCCACGUCACAACCCGAAUCCUCACUAAUACCUACAACAGAUGUCAUAAUGGGCUCUGACUUGAUCCACCCAUACAAGGACCUGUAUAUAGCAAUAUCAUUCUCAGUACUGUCACAUAAGGCCAUACUACUAAGACGCAUCACCAAUUUUUGUUGCCCAGCGUUUCUAAAACAAAUUCCUCUCCUCCACUUCUUUUACUUUUUCUCAUCUGAGACCAACACAUGGAUCAUCCAACAAAACAUUCUUUUCUUUCCUUUUUCCUACCUCAACAUCAACAGGUCAUUAGUGGAUGGGACCUUGGCAACACUUUGUGCUGGUUCACAGUCGGGAUGUCUGCAGAGAGACCCUGAGAAGAUUCAUGCGGUGGCUUGCAGAGAAGUCUCUGCUGGAACAAGGACUGUCAUCAAAGUAUUUAGAAGACAAGAUCAUGAAGAAGAGCUCAUGAUUUUCACUGACUGAGAAAGACCAAAACCUUUGUAUGCAUACAGCUCUAAAAAUAUCAUUGUUGCUAUGACCAGGUGGUUGUCUAAGGUAAACACAGUUGACUUAUUCAGCAUUACUGAAGAUCCAUGAUCUCUCACACAUCUCUCAUUUUAUUUCCUUUCUUCACUUCAUUAUUCCUGCAGAAAUUUAUUAACAGUGAUGGCUGUAUGUAUUCUUUGAUCAGCAGAACUCAUUCUGAGAAAUUUAUGUGCUUUGUAAUUUUAGCAGACUACAUGGCUUCACUAAGGGCUAGGCAGGGGGGUUGGAACUACAUAAUCCUUGAGGUCCCUUCCAACCCGGGUCAUUCUGUGAUUCUGUGAUUCUGUGAAAUUCUGCUUGAUCAACCUAGUAUACUUCUGUGAUGAUGUAGAUGGGUAAGGGAGGAGCCACUGAUGUAAUCUAUCUGGACUUCAGUAAGGCCUUUUACACAUUGCCCCCUGUUCUUUUCUCCAAAUUGGAAAGGAUUUGAGGAGUAGCCUGUUCACUGGAUGAAGAAAUGGCUGCAAGAUUGAAUUCAGAAGUGACAGUCUAAGUCUCCAUGUCUGCAUGGAGAUCAGUGAUAAGUUUUUGUUCCACAUGGGUCAGUGCUGGGAUUGAUAGUCUUUACUGUCGUCAUCAGUGACUCUGACAGUGGGGUCAAGUGCAUCCUCAGAAAAUUUGCUGAUGACACCAAGCUGUGGGGUGCAGUCAACGCAUACAAGCAAUGGAAUGCCACCCAGAGGGACCCAGACAGGCUUGAGCAAUAAGCCCAGGAGAACAUCACAAAGUUCAGUAAAUCCAAGUGCAAGCUCUUCCAACUGGAUUGAGGCAACCUCCAUUACCAAUACAAGCUGGGGAAUUAAAUGAUUGAGA